rnacentral:lncRNA from 1 species
CUAACGGUAUCCAAAUCCUUGCCAUUGUUGUCAAGCACAACGUCAAACGUUUGACCUCCGACCACAUUGGCAACAUCAGCCGGGUUCCCCCACACCGUCUUUCCUCCGGCGCUGACAAUUUCCUGUCGACAGAUGAAAGAUUGUAUCUGGUCGGAACUGGAUUCAGAAAAAACUCACAAAAAGUGGGAACAUUCACAAAUCUUACGGAGAAUCGGCUGAAGGGAGGUUUCUUCAUCUUGUCGGAAGAUUCAUCGCCGACGGUCAUUAUGGUGACGCCAUGUCCGGCGGAGAGAAGCUCUUUGGCGAAGUAAAAUCCGAUCACGGCAUGACCGCCGCUGUUGGUGUUGACUAUAAGUACAUUCUUCUUCUCACCGACGGAGCUGGCCUUAACGGUAAACCUCUGAGGAGAUGACGUUCGGGAAGUCCUCAAAGAGUAUGUGAAGAGAGAAGAAGAAGAAGAAGAAGAAGAAGAAGAAGAGAGAGAGGAAAAGGAGGAAGAUGAAGAGGGUAGAGAGAAGCGGUGGAGAGAUGGCGGGAUCAGCAGAUUAUUGAUCGGAGAAGUUGUUUU